CAGGCUUUUUAAUGUAAACACACACUGUGUGCAGCACUGGCGUUAGUUCAUAUGGCAGAUCAUAUGGGUGGGGCAUUGUGAUGUGACAUGUGGGGGCAGCAAAUUUUUAUUUUGUCUAGGGCGGCAAAAAUCCUUGCACCGGCUCUGAUCCUGGGCAGGUGCACCAGUCUACUUGACUGGUUUUGCCCCCCAGGCCUAAGG